rnacentral:rRNA from 1 species
UUGGAGGGCAAGUCUGGUGCCAGCAGCCGCGGUAAUUCCAGCUCCAAUAGCGUAUAUUAAAGUUGUUGCAGUUAAAAAGCUCGUAGUUGAAUUUCGGGAUUAGUACGUCGGUCGUGCCUUAGGUACGUACUGGUGUUACUGGUUCCUACCUUCUGACGAACCAUCAUGUCAUUAAUUUGGUGUGGUGGGGAAUCAGGACUGUUACUUUGAAAAAAUUAGAGUGUUUAAAGCAGGCUCGCGCUUGAAUACAUUAGCAUGGAAUAAUGAAAUAGGACGUUGAUCCUAUUUUGUUGGUUUCUAGGAUUGACGUAAUGAUUAAUAGGGAUAGUUGGGGGCAUUAGUAUUCAAUUGUCAGAGGUGAAAUUCUUGGAUUUAUUGAAGACUAACUACUGCGAAAGCAUUUGCCAAGGAUGUUCUCAUUAAUCAAGAACGAAAGUUAGGAGAUCGAAGACGAUCAGAUACCGUCGUAGUCUUAACCAUAAACUAUGCCGAUUAGGGACCGGAUGAUGUUAAUUUUUUAAUGACUCAUUCGGCACCUUACGGGAAAC